GAGGGAAAGGCGAAAAGAACCCCGGCGAGGGGAGUGAAAAAGAACCUGAAACCGUGUACGUACAAGCAGUAGGAGCCUCUGUAUGGGGUGACUGCGUACCUUUUGUAUAAUGGGUCAGCGACUUAUAUUCUGUAGCAAGGUUAACCGUAUAGGGGAGCCGUAGGGAAACCGAGUCUUAACUGGGCGAAUGAGUUGCAGGGUAUAGACCCGAAAC
rnacentral:rRNA from 1 species